rnacentral:rRNA from 1 species
UACAGAGGGGGCAAGCGUUGUUCGGAAUUACUGGGCGUAAAGGGCGCGUAGGCGGCCUUCUAAGUCGAACGUGAAAUCCCCGGGCUCAACCCGGGAACUGCGUCCGAUACUGGAAGGCUUGAAUCCGGGAGAGGGAUGCGGAAUUCCAGGUGUAGCGGUGAAAUGCGUAGAUAUCUGGAGGAACACCGGUGGCGAAGGCGGCAUCCUGGACCGGCAUUGACGCUGAGACGCGAAAGCGUGGGGAGCAA